AGCACAACGAGUAGAUGUUGUACAUGUGUUUUAGAGGAAAUUAAGGAACGAUGCAUGGUAGUAAAUAUUAUUAAUUGAGUAAAUGCGCGAUCGAUCAUACAUAUAUGUUGAGCAUGCUGUGACUUUCGGAGUGAUGGGGACGAUGGAACAGAUGAACGACGGUGUAUUGAUCAUGCGCCGCUGGCCGCUGCGUGUUUGAAGGUUGACUCCAUCACUUUAAGCUUAUCAGAAGGAGGGGCUGCAAUGACCGAAUCGGCUGCCUUGUUGUAGGCAGCAAGGACUCGAGCGAUUUCCUUGUCGUCUCCAUCCGCAUACGCCUUGUUGACAGUUGACAUAGCGGUAUGCAUUGAUUUCGGUAAAGUAGAAUCUUUGUCCCACAGCUUCUUCUGCUCUGGUGAGGCCGCUGCGACGACUCCAAGGAUGGCCUUGUUAAUCUUGGAGCGCGUCUCGCAGUAGGCCUUGUCGACGUUGGGGCACUCGUAUGGGUUUGGUGCAGCUGCCGAGUUGAAGGUGUCCUCCAUUACCUUGAGCCUCUCGGCCGGCGGCGCAUGGAUGACCAUAGCAGAAGCCAUCCUAUAGGCAAGGAUGAGGUGGGCGAGUUUCUCCUCGUCUCCUGCCUUGGCGGCCUUGGCGACAUCUGAUUCUGCAGUUUGGAUGUGCUUCGAAGAGGCACGUGUGGCUUCUGGCUUCUUGGCCGGCGGGGUGGCGGUGUUGAUGGCAUCGGUAACCUCCUGGAACAACAAGGUCAAGUCGUCAAUGUCCUUUUUGGUGGCGGAGGUCAAGUCGUCAAUGGACUUUUUGGUGGCGGGGGACGGUGGUUGUUGCGUAGAGGAGGCUUCUGCUGCAGCUACGAUAGCAAAAAUUAAGGACAAAAACACGAGGAUGAUCUUCGCCAUGGCGGAUUGUACGAGGGGUACGGUGCUAGCUCCUAUAUGUUUUUGUUGAUGAGUCGUCGUCUUUUUAUUGACGAAAGCCAUUGCUAUAAUAGUUGACGAUGAUGCAUGCAUGGUAAUAACAGCAUAUAUAGGUCC
rnacentral:lncRNA from 1 species